ACACAACAACGGCACUGGCGCAGGGCAGCCAAACAGCAACCAAACAGCUGCCAAACAGCUGCCAGACACCAACGACCAAGACUGGCAGGUCCUUGGACUGGCUGAGACGACUCCAGGCACGGGAACCAGGAACCACACUCUGGCAGGCCCGGGCUGCUAGUCUCAACGCAGCCGAGUCCGCGCAAGGCCCACGCUGCCCGGCUGCUGCUGACUGGAACCUUGGGGCACCCCCCACACCCUUGAAACCUGGUAAGAAGCGUGUCUGGCCGUAAGCAGCUAGCCGGAUCGUGGUUGUCUUGCCUGGAGUUGCGGCCAAUCAAUCCCCGGACUCAGGUGCAAGUUGGGCAAACAGGUGCAGCAGGUGAGCAGGAGCAGGCACAAGUGCCGGCUGGCUUGGCAGAAGAGAGAGACUAGUAUGUUGUCAGCUGAGGUCUGAUAUAUUAAUAUAUUUAUAACCACCCAUGACUUAUGUAUAAACUGCGCCUGUAUAUGUAUGUCGUCCCUCGUGGCGCCGUUUGGGGGCGAAGCCCGAUUCACCCUCCAUAAUGUACUGUACCAUGGGGUGCGCUGUGCCAUGUACUGUACCUCGGCUACCAUCAUCCUAGUCAGAACAAAAAAGUGAAGAAAGAAAGAAGAAAAAAGAGAAAACGUCAUGAGGGCCAGAUUCAAUAAUUCUAGAUCCUCUUUUUCUUUUUCCUGUAGUGGGCGGUCAGUUGUCAGUUCACAUAAUUCCCGACAUGAACUAGUUUUGACCCGGCAGCUGUCAGUCAUGAUCUGAAUAUGAAAAAAAAAAAAAUAAAUAAAUAUAUCAAUUGAUAUAAAUAAGAAGAAAAUAAAGAAAAUAAAACCUCACACAAUCAAGUAGCAAGUAUUAUUCUAUCUCAUAUCCGUUUCUUAUUCGUUACAAAAAUUGUUCCUUGCUACUAACCUAGUCUAAAUCGCAUUAUUGUAUAUUUAUACCAUCAAGCAGGGAGGGAUCCAUUGCUCGAUAAUAACUAACACAUACACAAAAACGCAGCAACCCGAAAAGAAAAAAAAAGAUUAAUGCAUUCUGCAGGUCGGUCUGGCAAUCUGAUAAGUCCAGGGAGAAAAUAAUAGGUAGGGGGUUGGGAGGAACAUGUGUUGUACUGUACAUACAGGCUUGGAUCAGACAGUCGCUAGUAGAUAGCUUUUACACCGUGAACCUUUUUUUUCCAUGGUGCUGCACUUCUGCUCUACUGCAUAUUGCGUAAUCCUCAUGCCAGGGAUAUCUGGUUUGGUUUCUUUCUGGGUUCCCCUGCCAGUAGUUGAUGCGCAUAUAGUUAUGGAUUGGAUAAGCCGCAUCAAUCAAUUGUUUAUAUCUCGUUGUUAUUACAGGGGUUGAGAUGGGU
rnacentral:sRNA from 2 species